GGUGGUUCUCAGGUGACUCACCCCAGAAUCAGGCUCCCUCCUCUCUGGUUCCGGGGUGCGUCACCCGAGAACCACC
rfam:Myotis lucifugus cont2.36539, whole genome shotgun sequence.